UUGGUUAAGUUAGAAAGGGCGCACGGUGGAUGCCUUGGCACUAGGAGCCGAAGAAGGACGGGACUAACACCGAUAUGCUUUGGGGAGCUGUACGUAAGCGUUGAUCCAGAGAUUUCCGAAUGGGGGAACCCACUAUCUUUAGUCGGAUAGUAUCCUUACGUGAAUACAUAGCGUGAGGAAGGCAGACCCAGGGAACUGAAACAUCUAAGUACCUGGAGGAAGAGAAAGAAAAAUCGAUUUCCUGAGUAGCGGCGAGCGAAACGGAAAGAGCCCAAACCAAGAAGCUUGCUUCUUGGGGUUGUAGGACACUCUAUACGGAGUUACAAAAGAAAGUUAUAAAUGAAGCGGUCUGGAAAGGCCCGCCAAAGACGGUAACAGCCCGGUAGUUGAAAUGGCUUUCCCUCCAGAGUGGAUCCUGAGUACGGCGGAACACGUGAAAUUCCGUCGGAAUCCGGGAGGACCAUCUCCCAAGGCUAAAUACUCCCUAGUGACCGAUAGUGAACCAGUACCGUGAGGGAAAGGUGAAAAGCACCCCGGAAGGGGAGUGAAACAGUUCCUGAAACCGUGUGCCUACAAGUAGUUAGAGCCCGUUAAUGGGUGAUAGCGUGCCUUUUGUAGAAUGAACCGGCGAGUUACGAUUUGUUGCAAGGUUAAGCGGAAAAAGCGGAGCCGUAGCGAAAGCGAGUCUGAAUAGGGCGCAUAAGUAACAGGUCGUAGACCCGAAACCAGGUGAUCUACCCAUGUCCAGGAUGAAGGUAAGGUAAUACUUACUGGAGGUCCGAACCCACGCACGUUGAAAAGUGCGGGGAUGAGGUGUGGGUAGCGGAGAAAUUCCAAUCGAACUUGGAGAUAGCUGGUUCUCUCCGAAAUAGCUUUAGGGCUAGCCUCGAGGUAAAGAGUCAUGGAGGUAGAGCACUGUUUGGACUAGGGGCCCUUCUCGGGUUACCGAAUUCAGAUAAACUCCGAAUGCCAUGUACUUAUACUCGGGAGUCAGACUGCGAGUGAUAAGAUCCGUAGUCGAAAGGGAAACAGCCCAGACCACCAGUUAAGGUCCCCAAAUAUAUGUUAAGUGGAAAAGGAUGUGGGGUUGCUUAGACAACCAGGAUGUUGGCUUAGAAGCAGCCACCAUUGAAAGAGUGCGUAAUAGCUCACUGGUCGAGUGACCCCGCGCCGAAAAUGUACCGGGGCUAAACAUAUUACCGAAACUGUGGAUGAACCUCUUUAGAGGUUCGUGGUAGGAGAGCGUUCUAAGGGCGGUGAAGUCAGACCGGAAGGACUGGUGGAGCGCUUAGAAGUGAGAAUGCCGGUAUGAGUAGCGAAAGAAGGGUGAGAAUCCCUUCCACCGAAUAUCUAAGGUUUCCUGAGGAAGGCUCGUCCGCUCAGGGUUAGUCGGGACCUAAGCCGAGGCCGAUAGGCGUAGGCGAUGGACAACAGGUAGAGAUUCCUGUACCAGUGCUAAUUGUUUAACCGAUGGGGUGACACAGAAGGAUAGGGAAUCGCACGAAUGGAAAU
rnacentral:rRNA from 1 species